AAAUUACUGUCAAUAGCUAAAAAGGUUAUGUUUACAAUAUUUUAAAAUGUAUUUUAUUAUUAAAAAUUAAAAACACCUAACAAGAAUGUCGCAUAAAAUUCUCGAGGCCUUUAAAGUUCUUAAUGUAGAAUCAUCAGGGACUAUGUAUCAAAAAAUAUUCCAGUUAUAUUCAGAGGAGGCUGUGGCAACUGGCCCGCGAUUUACAAAUGGAAUUCUAAUUUCUUCAGG